UUUAUGGAGAGUUUGAUCCUGGCUCAGGAUGAACGCUGGCGGCGUGCCUAAUACAUGCAAGUCGAGCGAACGGACGAGAAGCUUGCUUCUCUGAUGUUAGCGGCGGACGGGUGAGUAACACGUGGAUAACCUACCUAUAAGACUGGGAUAACUUCGGGAAACCGGAGCUAAUACCGGAUAAUAUUUUGAACCGCAUGGUUCAAAAGUGAAAGACGGUCUUGCUGUCACUUAUAGAUGGAUCCGCGCUGCAUUAGCUAGUUGGUAAGGUAACGGCUUACCAAGGCAACGAUGCAUAGCCGACCUGAGAGGGUGAUCGGCCACACUGGAACUGAGACACGGUCCAGACUCCUACGGGAGGCAGCAGUAGGGAAUCUUCCGCAAUGGGCGAAAGCCUGACGGAGCAACGCCGCGUGAGUGAUGAAGGUCUUCGGAUCGUAAAACUCUGUUAUUAGGGAAGAACAUAUGUGUAAGUAACUGUGCACAUCUUGACGGUACCUAAUCAGAAAGCCACGGCUAACUACGUGCCAGCAGCCGCGGUAAUACGUAGGUGGCAAGCGUUAUCCGGAAUUAUUGGGCGUAAAGCGCGCGUAGGCGGU
rnacentral:rRNA from 1 species